AGAGAUGUGUGAUGACGCAUAUCAAUAAGCGGAGGAAAAGAAACUAACAAGGAUUCCCUUAGUAACGGCGAGUGAAGCGGGAAGAGCUCAAAUUUGAAAUCUUCAAGGUUCUACCUUGACGAAUUGUAGUUUAAAGAAGUGUUUUCUGUUAGUGGAGUUGGCUAAAAGUUCUUUGGAAUAGGACAUCAUAGAGGGUGAGAAUCCCGUAUUUGGUCAUUCUUUCUAGCUUUGUGAUACACUUUCAACGAGUCGGAUUGUUUGGGAAUGCAGUCCAAAAUGGGUGGUAAAUUUCAUCUAAAGCUAAAUAUUGGCGAGAGACCGAUAGCGAACAAGUACCGUGAGGGAAAGAUGAAAAGAACUUUGAAAAGAGAGUUAAACAGUACGUGAAAUUGUCAAAAGGGAAGCGUUUGACACCAGUGUUGUUUUUCCGAAAAUCAAUUACGAAUGUUUUAGUUUUUGAGGAAGUUAUGACUUCAUCGGCUUGCUCCUUUCUUUAUGAAACUUUCUUAAUGCACUUUUCGGUUAACAAGUCAACAUCAAUUUCUUUUGUUGUAAAAGGGUAUGAGGAAGGUGGCUUUACUUUCGGAGUAAAGUGUUUAUAUCCUUUAACCUCUGCAAUCGGAGAGAUUGAGGUCUGCAGCGUAGAUCCUUCGGGGUUAGAUACAUUUGUGCUAAGUUAUAGCUUGUCAUAGACAACUUGUUGACUAUGUUAAGUCAUUGUAGCUUACUCGCUUAUGCUAUUUUACCUACGCUUAGGAUGUUGAAGUCAUCGUAUCGCGC
rnacentral:rRNA from 1 species